CUAUUAACUGACGCUGAGGCACGAAAGCAUGGGGAUCAAACAGGAUUAGAUACCCUGGUAGUCCAUGCUGUAAACGAUGAAUGCUAGUUGUCGGUCUAGGGAUCGGUGACGGAGUUAACGCGAUAAGCAUUCCGCCUGGGGAGUACGGUCGCAAGAUUAAAACUCAAAGGAAUUGACGGGGACCCGCACAAGCGGUGGAGCAUGUGGUUUAAUUCGAUGCAACGCGAAGAACCUUACCAACUCUUGACAUCCUUAUCGGGGAGAAGAGAGAUCUUUUCUUUCAGUUAGGCUGGAUAAGUGACAGAUGCUGCAUGGCUGUCGUCAGCUCGUGUCGUGAGAUGUUGGGUUAAGUCCCGCAACGAGCGCAACCCUUGCUACCAGUUGCCAGCAGGUAAAGCUGGGCACUCUGGUGGGACUGCCGGUGACAAGCCGGAGGAAGGUGGGGAUGACGUCAAGUCAUCAUGGCUCUUACGAGUUGGGCUACACACGUGCUACAAUGGCAACUACAGAGAGGAACGAGGCCGUGAGGCCAAGGCAAUCUUAAAAAGUUGUCUCAGUUCGGAUUGUUCUCUGCAACUCGAGAACAUGAAGUUGGAAUCG
rnacentral:rRNA from 1 species